UACGUAGGGGGCAAGCGUUGUCCGGAUUUAUUGGGCGUAAAGAGCGUGUAGGCGGCCAGACAGGUCAGCUGUGAAAACUCGAGGCUCAACCUCGAGACGUCGGUUGAAACCGUCUGGCUAGAGUCCGGAAGAGGAGAGUGGAAUUCCCGGUGGUAGCGGUGAAAUGACGCAGAUAUCGGGAAGAACACCCGUGGCGAAGGCGGCUCUCUGGGACGGUACUGACGCGUGAGACGCGAAAGCGUGGGGAGCGAACAGG
rnacentral:rRNA from 1 species